rnacentral:rRNA from 1 species
AUGCAGUCGAGCGGACAGAAGGGAGCUUGCUCCCGGAUGUUAGCGGCGGACGGGUGAGUAACACGUGGGUAACCUGCCUGUAAGACUGGGAUAACUCCGGGAAACCGGAGCUAAUACCGGAUAGUUCCUUGAACCGCAUGGUUCAAGGAUGAAAGACGGUUUCGGCUGUCACUUACAGAUGGACCCGCGGCGCAUUAGCUAGUUGGUGAGGUAACGGCUCACCAAGGCGACGAUGCGUAGCCGACCUGAGAGGGUGAUCGGCCACACUGGGACUGAGACACGGCCCAGACUCCUACGGGAGGCAGCAGUAGGGAAUCUUCCGCAAUGGACGAAAGUCUGACGGAGCAACGCCGCGUGAGUGAUGAAGGUUUUCGGAUCGUAAAGCUCUGUUGUUAGGGAAGAACAAGUGCAAGAGUAACUGCUUGCACCUUGACGGUACCUAACCAGAAAGCCACGGCUAACUACGUGCCAGCAGCCGCGGUAAUACGUAGGUGGCAAGCGUUGUCCGGAAUUAUUGGGCGUAAAGGGCUCGCAGGCGGUUUCUUAAGUCUGAUGUGAAAGCCCCCGGCUCAACCGGGGAGGGUCAUUGGAAACUGGGAAACUUGAGUGCAGAAGAGGAGAGUGGAUUCCACGUGUAGCGGUAAAAAUGCG